ensembl:miRNA MIR191 microRNA 191
GCGGGCAACGGAAUCCCAAAAGCAGCUGUUGUCUCGAGAGCAUUCCAGCUGCGCUUGGAUUUCGUUCCCUGCU